rnacentral:rRNA from 1 species
UACGUAGGGGGCGAGCGUUGUCCGGAUUCAUUGGGCGUAAAGAGCUCGUAGGCGGUUCAGCAAGUCGGGUGUGAAACCUCCAGGCUCAACCUGGAGACGCCACCCGAUACUGCUGUGACUUGAGUCCGGUAGGGGACCACGGAAUACCUGGUGUAGCGGUGAAAUGCGCAGAUAUCUGGAGGAACACCGGUGGCGAAGGCGGCAUCCUGGACCGGUAUUGACGCUGAGGCGCGAAAGCUAGGGGAGCAAACGGG